UUAUGCCUACGGGGGGCAGCAGUGGGGAAUAUUGCACAAUGGGGGAAACCCUGAUGCAGCGACGCCGCGUGAGUGAAGAAGUAUUUCGGUAUGUAAAGCUCUAUCAGCAGGGAAGAUAAUGACGGUACCUGACUAAGAAGCUCCGGCUAAAUACGUGCCAGCAGCCGCGGUAAUACGUAUGGAGCAAGCGUUAUCCGGAUUUACUGGGUGUAAAGGGAGCGUAGACGGCGAGACAAGUCUGGAGUGAAAGGCCGGGGCCCAACCCCGGGACUGCUCUGGAAACUGCCUGGCUGG
rnacentral:rRNA from 1 species